AACGUAGGAGCCUAGCGUUAUCCGAAUUUACUGGGCGUAAAGCGCGUGCAGGCGGCUUCGUAAGUGGAUUGUGAAAUCUCCCGGCUCAACUGGGAGGGGACGGUCCAGACUGCGAGGCUGGAGUUCGGUAGGGGAGACUGGAAUUCCUGGUGUAGCGGUGAAAUGCGCAGAUAUCAGGAGGAACACCGGUGGCGAAGGCGGUUCUCUGGGAAUGUCCUGACGCUGAGGAGCGAAAGUGUGGGGGAGCGAACAGG
rnacentral:rRNA from 1 species